GAUGAAGAACGCAGCGAACUGAGAUAAGUAAUGUGAAUUGCAGAAUUCAGUGAAUCAUCGAGUCUUUGAACGCACAUUGCGCCCCCUGGCAUUCCGGGGGGCAUGCCUGUCCGAGCGUCAUUGCUGCCCUUCAAGCCCGGCUUGUGUGUUGGGUCGUCGUCCCCCCCGGGGGACGGGCCCGAAAGGCAGCGGCGGCACCGCGUCCGGUCCUCGAGCGUAUGGGGCUUUGUCACCCGCUCGAUUAGGGCCGGCCGGGCGCCAGCCGGCGUCUCCAACCUUCUAUUUUACCAGGUUGACCUCGGAUCAGGUAGGGAUACCCGCUGAACUUAAGCAUAUCAAUAAGCGGAGGA
rnacentral:misc_RNA from 1 species